GACAGAGGGUGCAACGUUGUUCGGAAUUACUGGGCGUAAAGCGUGUGUAGGCGGCCUCGCAAGUCGGAUGUGAAAGCCCUGGGCUCAACCCAGGAAGUGCACUCGAUACUGCUUGGCUUGAGUCUCGGAGAGGUUGGUGGAAUUCUCGGUGUAGAGGUGAAAUUCGUAGAUAUUCGCAAGAACACCAGUGGCGAAGGCGGCUCACUGGCCCGGUACUGACGCUGAGGUGCGAAAGCG
rnacentral:rRNA from 1 species